rnacentral:rRNA from 1 species
UACAGAGGGUGCAAGCGUUGUUCGGAAUUAUUGGGCGUAAAGCGCGUGUAGGCGGCUUGGCAAGUCGGGUGUGAAAGCCCUCAGCUUAACUGAGGAAGUGCGCCCGAAACUGCUUUGCUUGAGUACCGGAGAGGAUGGCGGAAUGCCCCAAGUAGAGGUGAAAUUCGUAGAUAUGGGGCGGAACACCGGUGGCGAAGGCGGCCAUCUGGACGGAUACUGACGCUGAGACGCGAAAGCGUGGGUAGCAAACAGG